UCGAGGAUCUUCGGCAAUGGGCGCAAGCCUGACCGAGCGACGCCGCGUGUGCGAUGAAGGCCUUCGGGUUGUAAAGCACUGUCGAGGGGGAGGAAAGCCGCAAGGUCUGACCUAUCCCUGGAGGAAGCACGGGCUAAGUUCGUGCCAGCAGCCGCGGUAAGACGAACCGUGCGAACGUUGUUCGGAAUCACUGGGCUUAAAGGGCGCGUAGGCGGGUCAUCAAGUCCGGGGUGAAAUCUUUCGGCUCAACCGGAAAAGUGCCUUGGAUACUGCUGGUCUUGAGGGAGGUAGGGGCAUGUGGAACUUCCGGUGGAGCGGUGAAAUGCGUUGAUAUCGGAAGGAACUCCGGUGGCGAAAGCGACGUGCUGGACCUCUUCUGACGCUGAGGCGCGAAAGCUAGGGGAGCGAACGGGAUUAGAUACCCCCGUAGUCC
rnacentral:rRNA from 1 species